rnacentral:rRNA from 1 species
GAUGAACGCUGGCGGCGUGCCUAAUACAUGCAAGUCGAGCGAACGGACGAGAAGCUUGCUUCUCUGACGUUAGCGGCGGACGGGUGAGUAACACGUGGAUAACCUACCUAUAAGACUGGGAUAACUUCGGGAAACCGGAGCUAAUACCGGAUAAUAUUUUGAACCGCAUGGUUCAAUAGUGAAAGACGGUCUUUCUGUCACUUAUAGAUGGAUCCGCGCUGCAUUAGCUAGUUGGUAAGGUAACGGCUUACCAAGGCAACGAUGCAUAGCCGACCUGAGAGGGUGAUCGGCCACACUGGAACUGAGACACGGUCCAGACUCCUACGGGAGGCAGCAGUAGGGAAUCUUCCGCAAAGGGCGAAAGCCUGACGGAGCAACGCCGCGUGAGUGAUGAAGGUCUUCGGAUCGUAAAACUCUGUUAUUAGGGAAGAACAUAUGUGUAAGUAACUGUGCACAUCUUGACGGUACCUAAUCAGAAAGCCACGGCUAACUACGUG